GGACAGAAUGACAGAUUUUUACCUUGUCAGCUCGGGGAUUCGAUCUUGCAACCUUCCGGUUACCAGUCCAACACUCUAACCUCUAGGCUACCUGCCGCCCCUACAUGAUGCAUGGUCUUGAUAACGUCAGUCUAUUUUUUUGCCCAGGUUUUUAUUGAGUGAACCAAAAUCAUGCACUGAUAACAGAAAGAGAACACAGCAUUUUUAAAAUCCUGUUUGGACCAUCAGGGAGGACUGUUGUGUGUGUUUGAUCCAUUCCAGGGGUCAUCUGUAAUCUUCACAUGGAUGCUCCAGAGAGCUACUACCUUUUUUACUUUCCUAAAGAUAACAUUCAGUUUUAGCCAGGUAGGGAAGGAGAAGGGAGCGACUGCCGUGGUUUGAGCCAGGUAGGGGAGGAGAAGGGAGCGACUGACGUGGUUUGAGCCAGGUAGGGGAGGAGAAGGGAGCGACUGUACUGACGUGGUUUGAGCCAGGUAGGGAAGGAGAAGGGAGCGACUGACGUGGUUUGAGCCAGGUAGGGGGAGGAGAAGGGAGCGACUGUAGUGACGUGGUUUGAGCCAGGUAGGGGAGGAGAAGGGAGCGACUGACGUGGUUUGAGCCAGGUAGGGGAGGAGAAGGGAGCGACUGACGUGGUUUGAGCCAGGUAGGGGAGGAGAAGGGAGCGACUGACGUGGUUUGAGCCAGGUAGGGGAGGAGAAGGGAGCGACUGACGUGGUUUGAGCCAGGUAGGGGAGGAGAAGGGAGCGACUGACGUGGUUUGAGCCAGGUAGGGAAGGAGAAGGGAGCGACUGACGUGGUUUGAGCCAGGUAGGGGAGGAGAAGGGAGCGA